AUGCAUCUGCCUCGAGGCAGGGACAACCCGGAGAGGCCCGUGGUGGGAGCCAGGAGAGUGGAGAAGCCGACCCUGAUGGGAUGGGCAGAGUGGCUGGUGGAACGGCCCAUGAGUAACAUCCAAGCAAUGGGGUGGGGACAGAGGCAGGGGCCAUGUGCUCUGCCACCCAGGAGAGAAUCAGGCUCAACUCUGCUCCAAUCCUCCCCUGUCCCUCCAGGGCUCUGCGUAUCCCCUCCCAACCCUAAUGGGGUGUCCCCAGGACCCUCUUCCGUGGCCUGCUGGACAUUUCCACAGAGGCACCCAGGCAUCGUCUCAAACUCCACAACUGCGGCCAGGUCACAAAUCCUGCUGGGACUCUGGAGGUGUAACCCGGUGAGAAAGUCCCCACUUCCUGGGAAAUCGGAGUCACCUGCCUCCAGGGCAUGCUGCAAAAGGUGAGCUUCAUGCAGUGGUGUAUGUUGGAAACAGAUGCCCGGUGCCACAGAGAAAAAUUAGCACUGAGACAAAGGAUCUCUCCGCAAAGCAGUUUUUUUUAAAUUCCUGCACUGCACGAAGGGCAGCCUUGCUAGCCAUCUUGCCGUGUGAGCACAACAGACGAAGGAAAGCAGACGUGUUUAUUUCUUAUGGGGCCGUCCUCACUGCUGUGUCUGAUCUCCAUUGGCCGGAGCUAGACCUCACAACCUAAACUAAAACCCAAUUGGCUAAUAACUUAAAACUUUUCUAAACAGGUAAGGGGCAUAGGCUGUGAGUUGGAACAUGCCUGUGAGCACUUCCAGCAGAGAUGUCUUGUUAAAGUACAAGGACAUAGAAUAUACCAUGUCCCUGUAAGCAUGGCAUGUUCGACAGCUACAUAGGAUAGGGCUUAACAAACAGUUAUUAGCAGAUUUAUUCUUUAACAAGAAAGGAAACUUUGAAGAAGUACUUUUUUACUUCCCACAGUAUAGGAUUUAGAUAUAGGGAGAUGGAUAUAAUGGUCAAUGUCAUGGCCAUUUCUAUCCAGAACUGUUUUUCCGGGCACCUGUUAUACCUUGGUGGAGCAGCUGACUUUCUAGGCUGGGAAGAGAGAACGCGGCCCCACCAGGCCCAGAGCAUGGCUGUGCUGCCAGAUCCUGGGCCACAAGCCUUUUGUGGCACCCCAUAUUUGAGACGUGGCUGGUCUGAUGGACAUGUGCAUCAGUGUGAAAUGCACACAGGCCUGCAAAGCCUGAGUGCAAAACAAAGGCUGUCAAAGGUCUUAUCAAUAGUUUCUAUAUUGUCACAUGUCGGGAUGAUGGCAUUUUGGAUGUAUGUGGUUAAAUAAAAUAAAUCAUUCAGGUUAAUUUUACUCCUUU
rnacentral:lncRNA from 13 species